rfam:Triticum aestivum genome assembly, contig: Triticum_aestivum_CS42_TGACv1_scaffold_433413_5DL
AUAGUAUUCCCUCCGUCCCAAAAUUCUUGUCUUAGAUUUGUCUAAAUACGGAGAUACAUCCGUAUCUAGACAAAUCUAAGACAAGAAUUUUGGGACGGAGGGAGUAGCUG